rnacentral:rRNA from 1 species
GACGAACGCCGGCGGCGUGCUUAACACAUGCAAGUCGAGCGAUGAAGUUCCUUCGGGAAUGGAUUAGCGGCGGACGGGUGAGUAACACGUGGGUAACCUGCCUCAUAGAGGGGAAUAGCCUUUCGAAAGGAAGAUUAAUACCGCAUAAGAUUGUAGUAUCGCAUGAUACAGCAAUUAAAGGAGUAAUCCGCUAUGAGAUGGACCCGCGUCGCAUUAGCUAGUUGGUGAGGUAACGGCUCACCAAGGUGACGAUGCGUAGCCGACCUGAGAGGGUGAUCGGCCACAUUGGGUCUGAGACACGGCCCAGACUCCUACGGGAGGCAGCAGUGGGGAAUACUGCACAAUGGGGGAAACCCUGAUGCAGCAACGCCGCGUGAGUGAUGACGGUCUUCGGAUUGUAAAACUCUGUCUUCAGGGACGAUAAUGACGGUACCUGAGGAGGAAGCCACGGCUAACUACGUGCCAGCAGCCGCGGUAA